GCGCGAGUGGCGGAAUUGGCAGACGCGUCAGAUUUAGGUUCUGGUGCCUUCGGGUGUAUGGGUUCGAGUCCCAUCUCGCGCACUA
rnacentral:tRNA from 3 species